CUCGACCUGGUUUUUGGUGCCUCAGCCUAAAAACUUGAACCGUGCGUGACCGAUCAGCUCGGGUUCGUUGGAUCCUGGACCUAUGGCUGACCAUGGAGCCUGGUUAUGGCUGGAGGAACUCUGGACCAUCCAUGUACAGGAACCAGGAAACAGCAAUGCUGGAACCAGGAUCAGAUAGUCUGAAAUAGAACUAUACAGUCAAUGAUCUCCAGAUGCCUGUAGUGUACUGCAGAAAUUUUGCUACUCGCUCUUCACCACAGUACUCUUCCUACAUUGCAAUCCAGGAGCAUUACACCAGACCCUACAACUGAUUUAAGUUACUCAUUGUUGACCCAUCAAUUUCAUCAGGAGUUUAGAAGAUGCAAGAAGGGCCAUACAACAAUGUGAAAUACGUCUGGCAUUUGUACAGUGUCUUUCUUCUGAGGGUCUCAAAGUACUUUGCAAAGAGAAGGUCUGGAUCUAGCACUCAUGAUCUAUAAGAGUCUUUCAUUAGACUUCAAUGGGUGCUGAAUUAGGCCCUAAACCAAUUAACUAUGUAAUACAGGAAUUGCGUCCAUUUUACAGGAAAGGAACCAGGCACAAUUUUUUCCAAGAGUAGCUGUGGCAGUCUGUACCCUUAUGUUUACCCCUCUUAUAAGACUAUGAAAUUUUGUACAAAGUAUGCCUCAUAUAUUGAUAUCAUUUGAAAACUCACAAUUUGCUGAUCAUUAUUGUUCUGGUAAAGUGUGUGGCAAUGUUGUAUGUCAAGUUAUAAGAUUCUACUAUAUAAUACUUCUGAGACAUGUUCCAAGUUUGCAAGAACAGCCACAAACUAGUUCCUCAGAAACAAAAGAUAAACCAACACAUCAGCCAGGUGUCAACAAUAUCAAAUGGACGACCAGCUGGUCAAGUGGCUAUUAUUUGGCAGGAAAAGGUGUGAGCAAGAAAUGUAUAUCUUGGCAAAAAACAGCUGGAGGUUCCUGUCUCCACAGGUGGUAUCAACACCACCUGAAAAACAAGGGAACUAACACUGAACUGGAGGUGGUGUCCUGGUCGAAAGAAAUCCAGCCAGUAUGACUGCUGAAGCAUGUGGUGAGAGACUUCUUCUUUGAAUUCAUUUAGCUUAAAUUAGAUAUUAGCUACAUUUUACCUUUUUUCUUGUAACCAAUUCUUACUUUUAUGCCUCAUUACUUGUAAUCACUUAAAAACUUUGUCAUUAAUAAAAUUGGUUUAUUGGA